GUGUUGUCUCGUCCCCCUGCCCAGGUCACCAGGGAUUCAUGGUUUCCCCCAUCUUCACUGUUGACAGGGAUAUUGAGCUGACAGAACCUGCCCUGCCUUGUCAGGCAGUAACUUGGCUCCAGAACUGCAGUAGUCCUUUGACAGAAAGUGGUGCUAAAGUAACUCCUGACCUGAGUGCUCCUGAGAUGGAUCUUCCAGCCUAGUUUUGAAGAGGAACCCAGUCCCUUCUUGGAGAUCUCUCAGCAAUACCAUCAAACCUGAGUUGAGGACCCCUAUGGCUUUUUGGUUGGG